rnacentral:rRNA from 1 species
UACGGGGGGUCCAAGCGUUGUCCGGAAUCACUGGGUUUAAAGGGUGCGUAGGCGGUUAGAUAAGUCAGUCGUGAAAUCGUUGGGCUCAACCCAUACAAUUGCGAUUGAUACUGUUUAACUUGAAUCAGGUUGAGGUAGGCGGAAUGUGGCAUGUAGCGGUGAAAUGCUUAGAUAUGCCAUAGAACACCGAUUGCGAAGGCAGCUUGCUGGGCCUUGAUUGACGCUGAGGCACGAAAGCGUGGGGAGCAAACAGG